UAUUUGCAUAUGAGUAAAAAUCUACACAAAUACACCUUUGUGCUAAACGGAAGUAUGAAAAGCCAAAUGCAGUUUCCAUAAUGUCAAACUGAAUGGCAGUGCUUGUGGAAAACGAACGUUUAAAAGAACCUAACUAUUAAAGAACUGGGGACCUAGAAAGGAAGCUCUUGUCAUUAUAGCUAUAAUGGAGGCAAAAUAUUUUAAAUAAAGAAACAAGGUAGAUAUUGAAGGGGAACUGCAAGUUUUUAUUAUGCAUGUAAUUAAGAGUAACAUGGAAUUCUAUUCCAAAAUACUGUUUCUUCUCGUGUACUGAAAAGACUGGAUAAUGUUGGCCUAUAUUCAAUAUAGUUCUCAGGUGCUUAGAACAAGAAUUAGGUGGAGCUGAGAUAUGUAAAGCCAGAAGUUGUAAUCCAGGGACUCAUGAUGGCUUUUCAUUGUAAGGCAGGGUCCACAGCAUUUCCCAAGGUAUGGUCUCCUGGUCAUCACCAUCAGAAGACCUGAAUCAUACCUGAUGUUCCUUCUUCUCAUUGACCCCUGAGAAGGAAAGACAGAUGUGCAAAGCAGUGGUGGGGUAAACCAGACUUCUCCAACCUGGCAUGUCAACAGGGAGCUCUCUGGGUUUAAGACUCUUGGCACCUCUUCUCUACUGUGUAUACUCAACCAUGGCUUCUACCUAAUUCUGGAUUUAUUUAGACUUACCAGGUGCCGUUCUGAUCAAAAGAGAGAUUACACUGUAUUCAGUGGGUUUCUGAGGUGUCAUUCUGAAAUAGCUCAUUUUCCAUUGUGUUGGAUAGCAUGCACUGAAGCCUUAGUCAGGUCUCUGGGUUGCACUCCCAGCUGGUGAGCACCUGCACCCUACACUGGGUCAAGCCCGGUGGACUGCGAAGGAAGCUUCACCACAACAAUAUGACUGGCUUAAAUAUCCCACAGAUCAAAUAAGCAUGAAAAUUGUGAUGUCUAGUUCACAGCAAAAAAUGUAGAUUUGUAUCCACAUACUAGAACAUGGUUUAGCAUUGAUUUAUUAAAUAUACAAUUAAUAAGAUUACAGUUCUAAUAAGUCUAAUGUAUAUUGAAUGUGUAAGUUCUUGAAUUUUGUAGUAUUGAAGUCACAUGGCAAGCCAUCCUAUUGCCUUAGGUGUUAUCAGACAACGCGUUUCUGAAAAUCAGAAUGUUUGCUUCUAACUUGAUAUGCCUACACUAAAAGAUGAUGUACAGCUACAGGUGUAAGUCUGUCUAGAUCAGCUAGUCUAAAAGGUCAGCACUGAAGUUGCUAGUGUUGAGUUUCUUGCACUUUAUGUCUUGCAAUGUUUGAUAAUUUCAAGAUAAUAGCAGCUUAUUUAAUUUCUUUUUACCAAAUUAUAUAUAACAUAAUCAAUAAAACAAUGUAUUACUGUAUGUGCAGUUUACCCUGCAUGUUAGCAUAAGAUUGAAGGCAAGUGUCCAGGCUCCAGGACAGAGGUGGCUCAGUUGAUUGCUAAUGGUCACAUGAAAGGGUGUAUUUGAAACAUGGAAGUAGAAUCCCAGCAAAGUGGGCUGAAAGCACAUCCUGGCCACACUAUCCAAACACACUGCACUUACAGCAGCCUGCCCACCUCGCCUGCAAAGCUAAUAGAGGCACUGUCUGUGCCCCUGGGAACACAGCCUUCUUCUAUCAGCUUGCUGUUACUGAUGCUGUUGUUAUUACUGAAGAGGGGGAUAAAUUAAAAGCCUGAUCUGGGCUUAUGCCCUUUCCUGGAGUGUAGCAUGUCUUAAAGAACAGUGAUGUGCUGGUCACAAGAUCAAUCUGAACUUAGAAGAAUAAAAUUUACCUAUUUCUGAAUCUCUUGCCUGCCAUGGAACAAAGCAGACACAUUCUUGCUUGCCUUUUCUUUCUCUUUUCCAUCUCUCUCUCUCUUCCAUUCUUCCUGCUGCUUUUUCAAGCUUUAUUAAUAAAUUGGCCAUAAUUAUACAAAAAUACUGCAUUAUAUACAAAGAUUAUACAUAAGAAUUGCAUCACAGAAUUCUGUAAAGGCGUUCUAGUUAGUACUUUGAAGAUACAAAUACCUUGCUAUGGAUAAACCUGUAGUUUAUCAACCAGUAUUUCUCUUUCACACAUAAUCUCUUAUAAAAGCCUUCUCCCCCAUAACAUGAAACUGUAAUGGGUAUAAGCCAAGCCUCCCUUUGACUACUGGUUCAUUUCACAUAGAUUUGCCUUGUUCCAAGGAUGGUCAAAGCAUUGGUAACUGCCUCAAACCAUUCAACAGCCUAGAUCAUUCAAGGAGGUAAGAAAACUACAUGAGAGUUCUCCUACCCUUGUCGUCAGUCAGUCAUGGAUCUUGGCUCACCCAUACACAGAGGGACAGACAAGCAUGUAGCUUAUCUGAAGAAACAGGGAGUUUCUGAGGAGUUUAACCAGGACUUUUCCCCAAACAGGUCACUGUCGUAUUUAAAGAGUUACGGCUGCUCCUAAUUGUUCCUGAUUGCCCUGGGAGUAGAAGGUAUUCCUCCCUAACAGAGCAGCCUUAACUAGUAAGCAGGCUCUUUUGCUAUUUAUCCCUUAGCAGGUCUCAUUCCCCCUACAGAGACAACAGGGAAGUAUGGCAGUAUGGAGCAGUCUCCUGUCUUCCCCUGGAGAAAGCAGUGGCAGGAGUACAAGGGGUUGGCACACUUGGUACAGUAAAAAAAAAAGAUUCCCUGGUGGAGAGAAGAAAUUUCCACCUAAAUACUGCCUGGAUAGUGGCUUGUGUGAGUCUGCAUGUCCUAUGACCUCCCUGCUGUCACACAUAUGUGAGGCAUGGUCAUGCUCUGUGGUCCCUGGGAAACUGUAUGUCCUCUUGCAGCUAGGUACGCUAAUAAAUUAAAGAAGCUCCUGGAUGGCUCUGAACUGUACUAGACAAAACAGGGAUUGCAGGAGCAUAAGUAUUUACAGAUAGUUUUAUAUUUCUGUACUAAUAACCACAGGCUGACACGUGCUCUUCUUUUCUCCCAAUGUACAUAACUCCAUAUCAUUAAGGACUGACCUGAGCAAAUGGCCAAAGAGGGUUUAUGGCUCCAGCUGGUAGCUGUCCCUACCUGGAAGGCUAUAGCAUCUUGAGAAGGAGCCUGCAUUUCUGGUCCUCAGAGCUAUGGUCUAAUCUUGUAUCAUUAACUAAUAAGGUCAAGGGCAAGAUAUUCUCCAGUAUAAUUCCAUUAAGUGGUAAUUGAUAAGUUAUGAAAAGAAGUUAGCAUACACUUUACUUCUUACUACUUUAUAUAGCUAAUACCAUAUUUGUGUUAUCUAUACAACCUACUCACAACGUAUUAAAUUUUCACAUCUCUAGAGAAGGCUGUUCAGAAACUUUCCAAUUAGCCAUUCUGUUUAUUACUACUUCUCUGUUCACUCAUUAAAUCUAGUUCUCACCUUUCCACCCACAUGUCCUAGUGCCACCCACUCACGUAUGCACACACACGUCUCAUACGUACCACCAAGUCAUACAUAUCUCACUCAUUAAAUGACUCAGCUCGCCUAGUUCAUACCUGCUCAGAACACAGAAAUUAUCAGUUCCUCUCAGCCUACCCACCCUGUUUCACAAAUAAUGUCCUCGGUCAAGCAUAUGUAGCUUUUGGUAAAAAAUUUUCCCCUGACACAAAAAGAAUACCAGAGCUCUGGACUACCACCUCAGCUCUGAAUCCCCAGCAACACCAACACCUUCUAGAUCAGCAAAUCACAGUGGGCUCAGCCAUUAAAGACUCUACACCUUUUCCUAGGAUACCCUCAUGACUAGAACAAUUCUCCAGUCCCUCUUUGUGAGGCACUGGUGUAGGCCUGGAAGAGCAACUUUGCAGACUAAGGAAGAAGUUGACCUCACUGAGGAGACAUGAAGGUCUUGGUGUCAGUUUUGUAUCUUUUCCAACUGAAUUUCACAUAAAAUGCACAAGUUGUUCUUGGAACAAUUAUCGUAUCAAAAUAUCCCCUCUUAAAUGAAUGUCCUAAUGCAUGCUUUAGGGGGUUAAACUUUUCCUUACUCCAGUUCUAAAACUCCAGAAUUGUUGUCUGCAAAGUGUCCUGUUUCUGAACGCAGCAGCUUAGGUACCUCAGUGCACAAGAGAGCUGUGGGAUAUGAAACCUGAUCUCAUAAAAACGUGUCCCUGCCACCUAGCAUUGGGUAUCUGAUCCCUCUGACAGAGCAAGUGUACAAGACCCAACUCUGCCAUCAUUGUUUCCUAUUAGAUAACUUUGGCAGCUCCCUAUUCAUCUUGCUGUCUAUUUUGAUUCUCAUUCAUAGAUUCAAUGACUAGAGAGCUGAGGUGUUUCACUGAAGGGUGCAGGUACCACUAGGCACCUAGUGACUCCAAGUAUUACCAUAAUAACCUUCUUUUAGGGAUCUAGUUCAUACUCCAUCCUCCUUAUUUUUCAUUUCCAAUACUAAAUUGACCUUUAAAGCCUGUAGCUUUUUCUGUAGCCUAUGUACUCUCAAGCCAAAAGUCACUAAUGGAUAAAACCUAACGAGCAAUUAACCAUAAGUAACACAAGCAAUAUUUUUCCCACUGUUGAGUGUUAUCAGAAUUGAGCCUUUCAGGACUGUGAGCCUACCACAUAGGAUCACACCUUCUUUCUGUUGCAUAGGCUAAGGAAAUAACUAGAAACUACUAGAAAUUAAAGUAUUAACUAGAAAUCUGCUACUGAGGUCAAGUAGCCAAACUAAUAUUAUUCCCUGAAACAGGUAAAAACCAAAUAUUUUGUAAAUGUUACAAAGGUGUUGUUUUCAUACUACAAAAUAAAAAAAGAGGAUUUUCAAAAGAUAGCUUAUCAAAUUAUAAAUAAAACAGAUAAAAUUACUUGCUUUGUUGUUUUAAGUACAUAAGUACUUAAAAGUUCAGGCACCUGUGCUUACAGAUCAGUCUAGAGCUCUGUUUUGCAAUCAUAAGGUACGAUACGCUGACUAAAUAUCUUAAAUAUAGAACAUGAAAUCCCAUUCCAAACCUGAGAAAUGCUAACAGUAUUCCACUUGUAUGUAGAUGAAAUAUGCUUAUUCUAACAUUCAAAUAUUUACCCUAAAUUCCAACUCUGAAUGACUGUACGUGCUAAAAUGGCACAGCCAGAUGUUUAACUUGUUGGACACAGAAAUACAGCUGUUUCAAGCUACUUUUGUGUAGAGACGGAAGUAAUUUAGCUAAAUUUCAGCUGAUAUUUAACAUUUGGUUUAAAUAUAUUAUGACACACACCAAUAGCUCACUAAUUUUUAAUUAAUGUCUGUAUUAAUAGAUGCUCUCUAUUUAUCCCCUGUAUUAUUUUUGCAGGUCAUAUUGACUCCCCUGGGUUCUCCAUAUCAUUUUUCUGCUGUUCUUCAGAGACUGAUUCAGUCCAAUGACUUUCUUCUACCCAUGUUCCUGGGCCAAUCAAUUAUCCCUGACCCCUUUUCUUACUCUCCAACCAGCUGAGCUGAAUUUUGAUAACCCACAAAAUAUUUUGGGUUAAAACAAAUCAGAGAAACCACUUUCAACUUGCACAAUCCAUUAAUAAAAAAUGCAACCAAGCUUUUCCACGUCAGUGGAGGCUGAACUGCUCAGCUCUGCUUGCAGUAAGGCUAUAGCCAAGAUACAGAAAGCGAUUUAUCUACUCAGAUGCUUAAACAUUUGGGAUGCAUCUGAUUUAGAUUUAUCUAAGUAAUAAACUUUACAUGCUUCUUUUAGGACAAAAGCUCUGAGAGAAGAAAAUUCUUGUGGGAUGUGAGCUGCAAAUGCAAGUCUCUGACUUCCGAUGGAAAGCAAAGUAGCUGCUACUUUGAACAGAAAACCACUUUCAACAUCACUCAGUUGAGAAAGUAGGAACGCACAUAUGCAAAGAGAAGAACUUAUUGUGCAACCCUUCAUGGGAGAUCCAUGAUGUUGGAGCAGCAGAGCCACCAGCAUGCCUGCCCCGUGAGAUUCCUGAUGCAAUGGAUCAGUCUGGGCUCUCCCUGGGGCCAGUUAGCAGGCUUUUCUGCCUCACCCAUACUACACAAAGCAGCCUCAGUGAAAGCCAGGACUAUGCCCUGUGUUUUUCUCUUGGUGUUUGAUUGGCUCUGGAUAAGAAGCCAUAGAAAAGAGCAAUAAACUUAAUACCGACAUGUUCAACACAGUCACAGAA